rnacentral:tRNA from 3 species
AAGUUACUGCAUGGACUAGAGUAACGCCAUGGUAAGGCGUAAGUCAUCGGUUCAAAUCCGAUAAGGGGCUUUGGCUUU